GUCUCCCACUUCACUUUGCCAAUUAGACCGUUCUUGUCUCUCUUGGCCAUUCAGGUGGGGUAAAAAAAUAUCCUUUUAAAACCCUGCCAGAUUAUAUUUAACUGGCUUGGAUCCUGUCAGAGGAAACAAAC